rnacentral:tRNA from 1 species
GUCUCCGUAGGGGAGCCUGGAGUCCCCGUCACCCUGUCACGGUGAAGACCGCGGGUCCGAGUCCCGCCGGAGACGCCU